ensembl:snRNA U6 U6 spliceosomal RNA
GUGCUUGCUUUGGCAGCCCAUAUAGUGAAAACUGGAAUGAUACAGAGAUCAGCACGGCCCCUGCACAAAAACCACACGUGAACUCGUGAAGGUUCCAUAUUAAA